UACACACACUGCAUUAUAUAAACACACUACACAAGCACUGUGUAGAUAAUGAAUGCAGUGUUUGUGUAGUGUGUGUACAGUGAAUGCAGUGUGUUUGUG